UUUCAAGAAAAAUAAGUUCAGAACUAAUACAUAUACACUUUCACUUUAUUUAUUUACGUAUUGCUUUUUUAGGGCCACACAUGGGCAUAUGGAAAUUCCUGAGCAAGAAGUCAGGAAUUUCUAUAUGGCAGGAUCCGAGCCAGGUCUGCAACCUACACCACAGCUCAUGCCAACACUGGAUCCUUAAUCCGCUGAGCAAGGCCAGGGAUCAAACCCACAUCCUCAUGGAUACCAGUGGAGUUCAUUACCACUGAGCCACAACAAGAACUCCUAUAUCUUAAUUUUAAUGACAUAAAUUAGAAAUAGUUCAAAAUGGAAAUCUUUCUGUUUGGGUUUGGAGACACAUUUUUUGACCAAGUGUUGAGGACAUUUUCAAGUUACCUCCAUUUCACUUCAGAGAAUUUAAAGCUAGCAAAUGUACAGGAAGGGGAAGAAACAAUGACAAUUUCAUAUAAUAGCACUACAACCCUGCAUUUGUGUGCUAGUCUCUUUGAAGAGCUAAAGUUCACGUCAGACUUUUCUAGUAACCAUGCUCCUUUUGACAUAUUUUAAAGGGCAAGUUAUUUGCAUUUUGUGAAUAUAACGCCUUAUUUUCUUUCUUUUGAUUUCUAGAAGGCUUUUUUCAAGAAGGGAUAUGAUUAAUAGAAUUACUCUAUUGAUAAUCCAAAUUUCUUACCAUUUGGAAAGAGAGAGGUCCAGAAAAGUUCCUAUUUACUUGUUUUAGAUUCUAGGUUAAAAUGUUGAUUAGUUUCACUAAAUGCAUCACAUAAAUUUAAGAUUUUCCUGUAACUAUAUCUACUUGGCUUUAAUCUACCAGCAAAUCAUUUUCUUUACUCAAUUUUCAAUUCACUGUAUAAAGAGAAAAACCUAUCACAUGCAAAGCACAAUGCUAUAUGUGAUUGAGAAUCUAACAACAGAAUCCCUGACUUUCAAGACACUUGCAAUCUAGUAGAUGGGUAUGUAAACAAAUAAGCAUAACCCAAGCAAGUAAGUGAAAAGUAUGAUAGCAGAACCACAGGUGCUUUGGUGCACGGCACCUGGAGAUCACUUUCAAUUAGAAAACCUGGGGACAACUUUGGGGAAGUAUGGCCAAUGACCUGAGUUGCACCUUAAAGUAUAAGUAGAAUUCUGAGUGACAGAAUUGGGAAGGAAGAGCACCCUGAAAGGAGAAAGGAUGCAUGAGCAGGAGGUGUGUUCGGGAAGGACCAAGUGGUCUUGCUUGCCUGUAGUACAGCGAACAGCAACAAAGAAACAGGAAAUAAAUGAGAGAUUCUCAGCGCUACAGACUGUUCAAGCUGGAAGCGCACUCAGUGACUCUCUGUUCAAGCUCUUGUUCUUAUAGACGUGGAAAAGAAAAGCCUCUUUUCCCAUGUUUCUUUGUUUAUGGACCCUGUUCUGGACACUAAACUUCCUUUUGAAUUUGAUUAUGGGGUCUAUUUUCCAUUACCUGGCUCAAAUAUAAUUUCAGUGCGAGUAGCUAGGAUGAAAGUUAGCAAAUUCAUCUGUGAAAUAUACACACAUAGGAGAAACAACUACCACUUUUUUUUCUUUUUCCAGGAUGGUAAAUCCUUUCCCUAAACUUUAAUUAAGUUCAUAAAUGUACUUGGCCGCAUAGGGGAAUGAGGCUAUGAUGUCCUGGAGUUCCCAUCGUGGCGCAGCGGUUAACGAAUCCGACUAGGAACCAUGAGGUUGCGGGUUCGAUCCCUGCCCUUGCUCAGUGGGUUAAGGAUCCGGCAUUUCCCUGAGCUGUGGUGUGGGUCGCAGACGCGGCUCGGAUCCCGAGUUGCUGUGGCUCUGGCAUAGGCCGGUGGCUACAGCUCCGAUUGGACCCCUUGCCUGGGAACCUCCAUAUGCCGCGGGAGCAGCCCAAAAAUGGCAAAAAGAUGAAAAAAAAAAGAAACUGAUGUCCUUCGGGUUUGUUCUGUUAAGACUCUGCCUGCUGUUCCCAAAUGGCUCUGUCUGCACUGAUCCCUUUCCCCGUUCCAGUAUCCUAAUACUAAAUAGACUGCUGCAUUUGGAAUAGAUAGGCAAUGAGACCCUGUUGUAUAGCACUAGGAACCAUGUCUAAUCACUUGUGAUGAAUCUAUACAUGUAUGUAUAACCGGGUCACCAAGCUGUACAGUAGAAAAUUGAUGGAACACUGUAAACCAGCUAUAACGGAAAAAAUAAAAAUCAUUAUAAAAUAAUUUUUAAAAAUUUUAAUUGUUUCCUAAAGCUCAAACACAGGCAAAAUGAACAGAAAACCUUUCCCACUCCCAUCUCUUAAAAUUGCACAAUAUUUGUUCUCCUGCACAAGCUGCCCCUCUCUGAUAUUUUGGCUGCAGUGUCCUCAUCUUUAAUACUGUGCUGUUCAAAUGUUGUUUCUCUGGGGAAACUCUCGGCCAGCUAAGCCUGCGUUUUUAUUCACUUUGACAAGAGCUCUCUCCACUAAGGUCUUCAGAAACUCAACUCUCCAGCUUCUGACAUGCAAGAAAAAUGAAUAACCCAGCAAGCUCUCUAAAAUAGCCAAGAUAAAGUACAAUGACCAUUUUCAUCUUUAGAAGCUCCUGGGAGCUUGUCACUGUUGUUGAAAUAGCUUUACCUUUACAGCUCCUGAAACCUACAGCAGCAUCUCUUUGUCCACAGGCCUAUCAGUGCCUUUCUGUAGGGUCUUUUACUCCCAAAGUCAUCAUCCUUGCCAUCAUUUUCAAGGCUCACUGGAGAACACGCAUCAGGUCCUGCCUUACUGCCUCUAAUAGUCACUCACUUUCAAGGUCAGUCACCAUUUGUUUGGAAAAACCAGAAAUUCUUUAUUUCAAGGGUCAGUCUUUGGUUUGCUUCUACCCAGCAGGAUCUUGUUCUCCAUACUUCUCUUUGUGGGAGGAAUCUCCCAGACACAAUUCAGUCCCAUGCUGUUAGCCUAAAAGCCAUGCAACAUUUGAUAAAGACAGAUUUCACCCCGGCCAGCUACCUCUCUGUACUUAAAGUGCUUUUCCAAAUAUUCAAGUGUUGUUUGCUUGGAAUAUUAGCAGAAGUUAAUUUCACUUUAUCUACUCUACUUGAAGCUCAGUCAUCAAGCCCAACGAUCAAAUUAAUAAAGUUACGCGCAAACUAGAAGGUCUUCAUAUUAAUUGGAAAAAAGACCAAAAAUGAUUUACUACUAUUCACCAAAUAGCAGACAGAAAAAUCCCAUCACCAACUAAAGCUGUUUAGAAUUCUCUAUGUCCACAUGUGUUACUGGCAAACAUAUUUUUAAGGGAGGGGUAAAAACAUUCAACAUCACCUGCAGUAUAAAGACAAAGACAAAUCCAAAGGCAAGUUAUAGCCCCUCAAGAGAAGUGCAAACCUCAAGAAACUAAAGUAAAAUAAAAAUCUUUAUCCAUUAUAGAGCCAUUACUAUUCCAAGCUCCCCCCCCACCUGUAGUACAACAAACUAAUCAUGCUCUAUUGAGACACCUUAACAGUUCUUACAUUCACUCAUUCAUUCAACAAAUAUGAAAUGGAUACUUACCAUGUGCUACAUACUAUGCUAAACACUAGGGACAUAUUGGUGAAAAAUAUCAACACCAUCCCUGCUCUUAGAGAGAUUACAACAGCCUGUGAACUAAAGUAAGAAUUGAUGUAUAAAUGUCAGAUGAUACAAGAAGAGAGAUUUGGACAGAACUCUGAAGUACCUAGAGUUUAAAGGAUAAGCAAGGAGAUGACAUUGAGAAGGAUGACAAGGCAAGAAGCAAAAAAAAAAAAAAAAAGGAAAACUGGCAAUCUCCUUUCACAACGGAGUCUUAGAUGUCAAAUAAAUCACAAUGAUAUGUAUAAUGCUUAGUCAAAAAAAUUAAAUAAAAUACCUCAAUUUCAAAUUAAAUACAAGAUUAAGAAGAUGUCGUACCUAUACAGAAUGGAAUACUCCUCAGUCAUAAAAAGAAUGACAUAAUGCCAUUUGCAGCAACAUGGAUGCAACUAGAGAUUCUCAUACUAAGUCAAGUAAGUUAGAAAGAGAAAAGACAAAUACCAUAUGAUAUCACAUAUAUAUGGAAUCUAAAAUAUGGCACAAAUGAAACUAUCUACAAAACAGAGUCAGACUCACAGACAUAGAGAACAGACUUGUGGUUGCCAAGGGGGAGGAGGGAGUGGGAUGGAUGGGGAGUUUGGGGUUAGAGGAUGCAAACUACUACAUUUACAAUGGAUAAGCAAUGAAAUAUAGCUCAGGGAACUACAUCCUGGGAUAGACCAUGAUGGAAGAUAACAUAAGCAAAGGAAUGUAUAUGUAUGUAUGUAUGACUGGGUCACUUUGCUGUACAGCAGAAAUUGGCACAACAUUGUAAAUAAACUACACUUUAAUUAAAAAAAAUUUAAAUAGAAAAAAAAUUAAAAAAAAUAAGUGAUAAAUCAAGAAUGGACAGGACAAAUGUUAACACCAAGAAACCAGAUCUUGGAAAAUCCAAGGUCCCCGUAUAGAAACUAUAAGGCCUUGGACUUGAACUCUAGAUGGAGGGUGACCCUGAGUCCCUCACAGAAUUGCAGUUCUCAAAAGGGAAGUACUGUUUCUAAAAAAUGGUCUGGAACACUUCCACACACCCAAUAAAGGGAAUAAUAGAUGGGGAAAUCUGUCUGCCUCUAAGAUAGUUCUGAGAAGAAAAGAAAAAGGACAGUCUUCUCCAAAAAAUUAUAUUUAUACUUAUUCUUUCACAAGAGUCAGAGGCUUAAAUGGUACUGCUCAUGCAAAGAAGGUUCUGGAAGUCAAUGGUAUCUUGCAGAAAUAAAAGCAACUCUUCUUUGGAGAAAAGAUCCUCAACUCAGGUCUCCUAAGAAUCAUACAUAUCUUUAGUCAAAAUGUGUUCACGUUAAAGAAUGAACAUAAACUCAGGAAAAUGAGCCAUCAUGCCAAAAGUCAGAAGAAACACCAAAAACUAUAGAACCUCAUGGCUUAAGAUAGCAGACCUAACAUAUCUAACAUAAACAACUAUGCAUGAGAUGCCUUAAGAAAUAAAAGAUGGGAUUUAAAUUUGAGGAAGAAACAAAAAUAAUCACAAAUGACUAGACAGGAGUUCCCUGGUGGCCUAGGACUAAA
rnacentral:lncRNA from 1 species